AGCGUAGGUGGCCUAACAUGUCAACUGUGAAAACCCGGAGCUCAACUCCGGACUUGCAGUUGAAACUGGUAGGCUUGAGGACGGUAGAGGAAGACGGAACUGCCGGUGUAGGGGUAAAAUCCUUAGAUAUUGGCAGGAACGCCGGUGACGAAGGUGGUUUUCUGGGCCGGUUCUGACACUGAUGCUCGAAAGCCAGGGGAGCGAACGG
rnacentral:rRNA from 1 species